rnacentral:lncRNA from 1 species
GUUGGCUGGAGACUUCAAAUUCAAUCCAUGUAUGGGCUGAAAUGGCGGUUGUUCGGAGGCGGUCUUUGUAGACCAUGCACUGAAGCUUUGUAGGUGAAGCUUUGCAAGUGAAGCUUUGAAGCUGGAGCUCUGUAAAUGAAGCUUUUGAAGCUAGAGCUUUUGUAAAUGAAGCUUUUGAAGUUGGAGCUCUGUAAAUGAAGCUUUUGAAGCUAGAGCUUUUGUAAAUGACGUUUUUGAAGCUAAGGCUUUGUAAAUGAAACUUUUGAAGUUGAUUGUCAUGAGUGAUGCUCAUGAAUGUUUAAUUGACAUGAGUGAUGCUCAUGAAUGUUUGAUUGACAUGAGUGAUGCUCAUGGAUGUUAACAUGAGUGAUGCUCAUGAAUGUUUAUGUAUGAUUGACAUGAGUAAUGUUCAUGUAUGAUUUGAAGUACUGGGCGUACUUUUAAUCACCUGGUUGGUGGCAUAAAGGAGAGUACGGGUUGUACAUUUCAUCACCUGGUUGGUGGUAAUAGCGGCAGGUUGCCGAAUAAUUUUGGAGUAUUGGGCGUACUUUUGAUGACCUGGUUGGUGCUAUUUUAGGCUUAUGGGCCUUCACUCUCCACACAACAUUCCAACCCAUUUAUUUUGGGUUUUGUCGUUUUUUUUUUUUAAUUUUUUUUUUGAACCCUCUGAUGGGGUUUAUACAUAUUACCCUCUGAUGGGGUUUAUACAGAUGUUUCCGAAAGAUAAGGAAAAUAAAUUACAUCAUUCUGGUGGGGUGUUUAUUCCAUGCUUUUGCAGUGUUUUUCUGCUGCACUCUCUCUGUUUCUUUAUCUGGCAGACAUAAGGAAUCAUAAUAAUAGGAAGAUCUUUUGCUUUUCUUUUUUUCUCUUUUCCUUUUCUGCUUUUCCUUUUGCUUUCUCUUUUUUAUCUUUUCCACUGCACUACAUGUUUACAGCAUGAGUGAGUGCAUGGUUGGAGUUCGUGGAGGACCCGUUGGUGGUGCCCGUGCCACUGCUAGUGGAUGAUUGCUUUUGCCUAUUUUUUGAUGAUGGUGUCUCUUUCUUUUUGAGUUGGUAGUCGACACAUUAAUUCAUCAGAUAAAAAAAAAAAUUCUUAUCUUCUUUCAUCAGCUUUCUCUGUCCACCACCACAUUGAACCUUAGCUCCAUGAUAUGGGUCUAUCUGAAAAGCAACUUGGGACUGAUUGUAACCAGCCCUUCUACUGGAUACAUGGUGAUGUCUCCAUUGAAGCCGUGACGUCUCCGAGGGCAUGGUGGGCCAGACUUCCACCCGAAAAGCCGCUGGCAUCAUUCUCCAGAUGAUCAAGGAAGGAAAAAUCACGGGUCGGGCCGUUCUUCUGGCGGGUCAGCCCAGAACCGGCAAGAUCGCCAUCUGCGUCGGUUAUGGAGGUGGAGUCGUAGAGGAGGCCGUCGGUGGUCAUGGAGCCAAUUGGAAGCGAUGACGUCGUGUUAACGAUGUUGUUCUGGUAGUCCCGUAGGUUUUGGGGGUGCGCAGAGGAGGAAGACUGGUGUGGUGUGGUGGUGGUGGGCUUGGGCUUUGUAGCGGAGG